rnacentral:rRNA from 1 species
CCUACGGGGGGCAGCAGUGGGGAAUAUUGGACAAUGGGCGAAAGCCUGAUCCAGCCAUGCCGCGUGUGUGAAGAAGGCCUUCGGGUUGUAAAGCACUUUCAGUGGGGAAGAAAGCCUUGGGGCUAAUACCCUCGAGGAAGGACAUCACCCACAGAAGAAGCACCGGCUAACUCCGUGCCAGCAGCCGCGGUAAUACGGAGGGUGCGAGCGUUAAUCGGAAUUACUGGGCGUAAAGCGCGCGUAGGCGGUCUGAUAAGCCGGUUGUGAAAGCCCCGGGCUCAACCUGGGAACGGCAUCCGGAACUGUCAGGCUAGAGUGCAGGAGAGGAAGGCAGAAUUCCCGGUGUAGCGGUGAAAUGCGUAGAGAUCGGGAGGAAUACCAGUGGCGAAGGCGGCCUUCUGGACUGACACUGACGCUGAGGUGCGAAAGCGUGGGUAGCAAACAGGAUUAGAUACCCCGGUAGUC